rnacentral:rRNA from 1 species
CCUACGGGAGGCAGCAUUGAGGAAUAUUGGUCAAUGGGCGGAAGCCUGAACCAGCCAAGUAGCGUGCAGGAUGACGGCCCUACGGGUUGUAACCUGCUUUUAUACGGGAAUAACGCGCCUUACGUGUAGGGCUUUGCAUGUACCGUAUGAAUAAGGACCGGCUAAUUCCGUUCCAGCAGCCGCGGUAAUACGGAAGGUCCGGGCGUUAUCCGGAUUUAGUGGGUUUAAAGGGAGCGUAGGCGGCAUGUCAAGCGUGCGGUGAAAUGUCCGGGCUCAACCCGGGCCUUGCAGCGCGAACUGGCGUGCUGGAGUCCGCGGAAGGCAGGCGGAAUUCGUGGUGUAGCGGUGAAAUGCUUAGAUAUGACGAAGAACCCCGAUUGCGAAGGCAGCUUGCUGCAGCGGAACUGACGCUGAUGCUCGAAAGCGCGGGUAGCGAACAGGAUUAGAUACCCGGGUAGUC